AGUGAACGCUGGCGGUAGGCCUAACACAUGCAAGUCGAACGGCAGCACCGUACUAGCUUGCUCUUCCGGGUGGCGAGUGGCGGACGGGUGAGGAAUACAUCGGACUCUACUUUUUCGUGGGGGUUCACGUAGGUAAACUUACGCUAAUACCGCAUCCGCCCUACGGUUGAAAGCAUGGGAUCUUCGGACCUUGCGCGAUUGAAUGAGCCGCUGUCGGAUUAGCUAGUUGGCGGGGUAAAGGCCCACCAAGGCGACGAUCCGUAGCUGGUCUGAGAGGAUGAUAAGCCGCACUGGAAGGGAGACAGGGACCAGACGACUACGGGAGGCAGCAGUGGGGAAUAUUGGACAAUGGGCGCAAGCCUGAUCCAGCCAUACCGAGUGGGUGAAGAAGGCCUUCGGGGUGUAAAGACCUUUUGUUGGGAAAGAAAAGCAGCAGGUUAAGACGAAGCUGGUGUGACGGUACCGAAAGAAGAAGCACCGGCUAACUUCGUG
rnacentral:rRNA from 1 species